rnacentral:rRNA from 1 species
GAUGAACGCUGGCGGCGUGCCUAAUACAUGCGAGUCGAGCGAACGGACGAGAAGCUUGCUUCUCUGAUGUUAGCGGCGGACGGGUGAGUAACACGUGGAUAACCUACCUAUAAGACUGGGAUAACUUCGGGAAACCGGAGCUAAUACCGGAUAAUAUUUUGAACCGCAUGGUUCAAAAGUGAAAGACGGUCUUGCUGUCACUUAUAGAUGGAUCCGCGCUGCGUUAGCUAGUUGGUAAGGUAACGGCUUACCAAGGCAACGAUGCAUAGCCGACCUGAGAGGGUGAUCGGCCACACUGGAACUGAGACACGGUCCAGACUCCUACGGGAGGCAGCAGUAGGGAAUCUUCCGCAAUGGGCGAAAGCCUGACGGAGCAACGCCGCGUGAGUGAUGAAGGUCUUCGGAUCGUAAAACUCUGUUAUUAGGGAAGAACAUAUGUGUAAGUAACUGUGCACAUCUUGACGGUACCUAAUCAGAAAGCCACGGCUAAAUACGUG